UACGGGGGGAGCAAGCGUUGUUCGGAUUUACUGGGCGUAAAGGGCGCGUAGGCGGCCACCGCAAGUCGACUGUGAAAUCUCCGGGCUUAACCCGGAAAGGUCAGCCGAUACUGCGGGGCUAGAGUGCAGAAGGGGCAACUGGAAUUCUCGGUGUAGCGGUGAAAUGCGUAGAUAUCGGGAGGAACACCAGUGGCGAAGGCGGCACUCUGGGCCAGUACUGACACUGAGGAGCGAAAGCGUGGGGAGCGAACAGG
rnacentral:rRNA from 1 species